rnacentral:rRNA from 1 species
CCCUUAUCUUUAGUUACUAACAGGUCAUGCUGAGGACUCUAGAGAGACUGCCGUCGUAAGAUGUGAGGAAGGUGGGGAUGACGUCAAAUCAGCACGGCCCUUACGUCCGGGGCUACACACGUGUUACAAUGGGGGGUACAGAAGGCAGCUAGCGGGUGACCGUAUGCUAAUCCCAAAAUCCUCUCUCAGUUCGGAUCGAAGUCUGCAACCCGACUUCGUGAAGCUGGAUUCGCUAGUAAUCGCGCAUCAGCCACGGCGCGGUGAAUACGUUCCCGGGCCUUGUACACACCGCCCGUCAAGCCAUGGGAGCCGGGGGUACCUGAAGUACGUAACCGCAAGGAUCGUCCUAGGGUAAAACUGGUGACUGGGGCUAAGUCGUAACAAGGUAGCCGUACCGGAAGGUGCGGCUGGAACACCUCCUUUCUGGAGC